CCUACGGGAGGCAGCAGUGAGGAAUAUUGGUCAAUGGAGGCAACUCUGAACCAGCCAUGCCGCGUGCAGGAAGAAUGCCCUAUGGGUUGUAAACUGCUUUUAUUUGGGAAUAAACCUUUCUACGUGUAGAAAGCUGAAGGUACCAAACGAAUAAGCACCGGCUAACUCCGUGCCAGCAGCCGCGGUAAU
rnacentral:rRNA from 1 species